rnacentral:rRNA from 1 species
AGAGUUCGAUCCUGGCUCAGGAUGAACGCUGGCGGCGCGCCUAACACAUGCAAGUCGAACGGCACCUAUCUUCGGGUAGAAGCGAGUGGCGAACGGCUGAGUAACACGUGGAGAACCUGCCCCCUCCCCCGGGAUAGCCGCCCGAAAGGACGGGUAAUACCGGAUACCCCGGGGUGCCGCAUGGCACCCCGGCUAAAGCCCCGACGGGAGGGGAUGGCUCCGCGGCCCAUCAGGUAGACGGCGGGGUGACGGCCCACCGUGCCGACAACGGGUAGCCGGGUUGAGAGACCGACCGGCCAGAUUGGGACUGAGACACGGCCCAGACUCCUACGGGAGGCAGCAGUGGGGAAUCUUGCGCAAUGGGGGGAACCCUGACGCAGCGACGCCGCGUGCGGGACGGAGGCCUUCGGGUCGUAAACCGCUUUCAGCAGGGAAGAGUCAAGACUGUACCUGCAGAAGAAGCCCCGGCUAACUACGUGCCAGCAGCCGCGGUAAUACGUAGGGGGCGAGCGUUAUCCGGAUUCAUUGGGCGUAAAGCGCGCGUAGGCGGCCCGGCAGGCCGGGGGUCGAAGCGGGGGGCUCAACCCCCCGAAGCCCCCGGAACCUCCGCGGCUUGGGUCCGGUAGGGGAGGGUGGAACACCCGGUGUAGCGGUGGAAUGCGCAGAUAUCGGGUGGAACACCGGUGGCGAAGGCGGCCCUCUGGGCCGAGACCGACGCUGAGGCGCGAAAGCUGGGGGAGCGAACAGGAUUAGAUACCCUGGUAGUCCCAGCCGUAAACGAUGGACGCUAGGUGUGGGGGGACGAUCCCCCCGUGCCGCAGCCAACGCAUUAAGCGUCCCGCCUGGGGAGUACGGCCGCAAGGCUAAAACUCAAAGGAAUUGACGGGGGCCCGCACAAGCAGCGGAGCAUGUGGCUUAAUUCGAAGCAACGCGAAGAACCUUACCAGGGCUUGACAU